rnacentral:rRNA from 1 species
GAUAAGCCCGCGGCGUAUUGGCUAGUUGGUAGGGUAAUGGCCUACCAAGGCUUUGAUGCGUAGCUGGUCUGAGAGGAUGAUCAGCCACACUGGGACUGAGACACUGCCCAGACACCUACGGGUGGCUGCAGUCGAGAAUCUUUCGCAAUGGGGGAAACCCUGACGAAGCGACGCCGCGUGAGCGAUGAAGGCCUUCGGGUUGUAAAGCUCUGUCACAAGGGAAGAAAUGCCUUUUGAUGAAUAAGCAAGAGGUUUGACGGUACCUUGAAAGGAAGCCCCGGCUAACUCCGUGCCAGCAGCCGCGGUAAUACGGAGGGGGCAAGCGUUGUUCGGAUUUACUGGGUGUAAAGGGUGUGUAGGCGGUCGGGCAAGUUAGAUGUGAAAUCUCCGAGCUCAACUCGGAAAUGGCAUUUAAUACUGCUUGACUAGAGUACGAAAGAGGGAGAUGGAAUUCUCGGUGUAAGAGUGAAAUCUGCAGAUAUCGAGAGGAACACCAGUAGCGAAGGCGAUCUCCUGGGUCGAUACUGACGCUGAAACACGAAAGCUAGGGGAGCGAACGGGAUUAGAUACCCCGGUAGUCCUAGCCGUAAA